rnacentral:miRNA from 1 species
GACUCGCUUGUGUCGGAGCU